UGUUUUCCGGGGAGCCGGUGGAGAUCCAGCCCUUCAACACGCUGCUCUCUUACGUCCCGUCCGUGAGCAGUGAGCUGGCCGCGGCGGAGAUUUCUCCUUUGCUCGGAUCUUAUCUUUCCUCAAACGGAGCUCUUUUUGUGUCCUCUUACGCGCUUGACACAGUCCGGAGUAGUAAAGUAGGCGUGUUGGUGCUCAGUCGCCCGCAAAUCUCCUCGCCUUUGCGCUGCGCCUCCGUGGCAAUGGAUUGAUUUCAGUGUUUUUUUUUCUCCGACCUCUGCCUCGACCAAGUUGAGAAAACAGUCUCUCUAACCUGCGGCUCUCCCUUUCGAGCUACAUGUUUCAUCCGGCUAGUUUUAAAAGUACCUGGCUCCGGAUGUUUCUGCACAUUUUAGGACUUUGAACUUUUUUUUCUCCCCCUUGUGCAUUCACAGGAGGUGGCUGGGGAUUGUACGGAUUUCUUUUUUAAAAGCUUCUCCAGGGUUCCUGAAGCCUGCAAAGAUUUAUUUGUGAAAAGUGAUGGCCGAGCGGGGAGCUCUGUCGCUCCUCUCUCUCCUCUGCCUUACCUUUCUCUUCUACACGGAGACCACCGCCGCAAAGCAUGUCGACAAAGGUUCAGCAGCGCAGCCCUUCAGCCCCUUCUGGUUCACAGUGGAGCCCCAGGACACACUGGCCAUCCGGGGCAACUCGGCACUGCUCAACUGCUCGGCCCACAGCGACGCAUCUACGACGGCACGCAUCGAGUGGAAGAAAGACGGCACCUUCAUGAGCCUGGUUUCAGACGAGAGACGAAACAUUCUUCCCGAUGGCUCGCUGCUCUUCGCCCACGUGGUCCACUCGAAGCACAAUAAGCCUGACGAGGGAACCUAUCAGUGCGUUGCAACUAUUGAAAACUUGGGAUCCAUUUCCAGCCGCACAGCCCGCCUCUCGGUAGCAGGGAUGCCCAGAUUUGCUAGCCAGCCCUCAGCAACCUCUGUUCAUCUCGGGAGCAGCCAGGUGAUGGCCUGUGAGGUAAACUCUGAUCUGGUGCCUUUCACCCGGUGGGAGAAAGAUCGACAGCCACUGGAAUUAAACACCAGGCUCCUGCAGCUGCCCAGUGGGGCCCUCGUGGUCAACAACGCCUCUGAGUCAGACGCUGGCCUUUACCGCUGUAUGGUGGAAAAUGUGGGGUCGUCCAAGUCGACUGAGGAGGCCCAGCUCCAGAUUGUACCAGAAACCGGAGAAGAGAGGAAGCUGGAGUUCCUGGUGCAGCCUGCGUCUGUGAUGAAGGUGGUAGGUGCCGGCGUGCUGCUGCCCUGUGUUGCCACUGGUUACCCUGUGCCACAAGUUCGAUGGAUGUUAGGAGACAAGCUGCUAGAAGAGAGUGACGGUCGCAUGGAGCUGCUGGGAGGAGGAAGUCUGCUGAUCAGCAAUCUAACAGAGGAGGAUGCUGGGAUCUACACCUGUAUGGCAGAAAAUGGCAACGCAAGCAUUGAAGCCCAAGCACAACUCACCUUACAAGUUCCUCCACAGUAUGUGAAACGACCAGCCAACAUUUACGCCCAUGAGUCCAUGGACAUCGUCUUUGAGUGUGAGGUGUCAGGGUCACCAGCCCCUACUGUCAAAUGGGUGAAGAAUGGAGAUGCUGUCAUCCCAAGUGACUACUUCAAAAUAAUUAAGGAGCACAACCUUCAGGUUCUGGGUCUGGUGAAGUCAGACGAGGGAUUCUAUCAGUGCCUUGCCGAAAAUGAUGCAGGAAACAUCCAGUCCAGUGCCCAGCUGAUCAUCUUAAAUCACGGCUCCGGAGGUGUAGCCAGUCCAGCAGGGCCCACUCCCUCCGCCCCUCGAGAUGUCGUGGCUUCGCUGGUUUCCACCCGCUUCAUCAAACUGACCUGGCGCCCACCGGCUGAACCCCACGGAGAUGAGCUAACCUACUCAGUUUUCUACAGCCAGGAGGGCACCAGCAGGGAGAGGGUAGUGAACACAAGCCGUCCAGGAGAGAUGCAGGUCACCAUCCAGAGCCUCAUGCCAGACACCAAAUAUCACUUCAGGGUCGUGGCCCACAACAGCAACGGCCAGGGAGAGAGCUCUGCAGCGCUCAAAGUGGCCACCCAGGCUGAAGUCCAAGUGCCGGGUCCUGCUCCUAACCUGCAGGCGACGGCCAACACGCCAACCACCGUCUCUCUGAGCUGGGACAAACCUCUCACUGGCAAUGGAGAGAUCGUCACCUACAAGCUGUACUACACAGACAAAAGCAUCGGCAAGGAACAGGACGUUGACAUAGACAAUCAGUCGUACACCAUGACUGGGCUGAAGAAGAACACAGAGUACAGCUUCCGUGUGGUAGCCAACAACAAGCACGGUCCAGGUGUCUCCACUGACGACGUUGUAGUCCGAACGCUCUCUGACGCUCCAAGUUCCCCUCCUCAAAACCUCACACUGGAGGUCCAGAACUCAAAGGGCAUCAUGCUAAGGUGGCAGCCUCCUCCUCUUAGUGGCCAGAACGGAGAGAUCACAGGCUACAAGGUCCGAUACAGGAAAGGAUCCCGGAGGAGCGAAGCAGCCGAGACCACCGGAGGGACCCAGCUCUUCAAGCUCAUUGAUGGUCUGGAGCGAGGAAUGGAGUACGCCUUCCGGGUGUCAGCCAUGACAGUGAACGGCACUGGACCAGCCACCGAGUGGACCACAGCGGAGACAUUUGAGAGCGACCUAGAUGAAUCCCGUGUUCCCGACCAGCCCAGCUCUCUCCAUGUCCGGCCGCUGGUCAACAGCAUCGUGGUUAGCUGGACGCCGCCAGAGAACCAGGACAUAGUUGUGCGAGGUUACACCAUCGGGUACGGCAUUGGCAGUCCCCACGCUCAGACCAUCAAAGUGGACUACAAGCAGCGCUACUACACCAUCGAGAACCUUGACCCCAGCUCCCACUAUGUGAUCACACUGAAGGCCUAUAAUAAUGUGGGUGAGGGGAUUCCUGUGUAUGAGAGCGCCAUCACCAGACCACAGUCAGUACCAGACCCCUCUCCCAUGAUGCCUCCCGUGGGUGUUCAGGCCUCUGUGCUGAGCCACGACACCAUCAAGGUGACCUGGGCCGACAACUCGCUGCCCAAGAACCAGAAGAUCACAGAUAACCGCUUCUACACAGUGCGAUGGAAGACCAACAUCCCCGCCAACACGAAAGUGAAGAUGGCCAACACCACCAGUCUGAACCACAUGGUGACGGGUCUGAAGCCCAACACAUUGUACGAGUUCUCCGUCAUGGUGACCAAAGGCCGCCGCUCCAGCACGUGGAGCAUGACCGCACAGGGAACCACCUUUGAGACCAUCCCCAGCUCCUCCCCGAAAGAUGUGACUGUGGUGAGCAAAGAGAACAAACCCCGCACCAUCAUCGUGAACUGGCAGCCUCCCUCUGAGGCCAACGGGAAGAUCACAGGCUACAUCAUCUACUACAGCACAGAUGUAAACGCUGAAGUUCACGACUGGGUUAUUGAACCCGUCGUUGGAAACCGCCUGACCCACCAGAUCCAGGAGCUGACACUGGACACCACUUACUACUUCAAGAUCCAGGCUCGAAACUCAAAGGGCAUGGGCCCGAUGUCUGAGGCCGUUCACUUCCGCACUCCAAAGACUGAGUCCUCUGACAAAAUGGCUAAUGACCAAGCCUCAAAUCUUCCACCGAAGCAGGGACCCUCAGGCCCCGUAAAUCCACACGACCCUGGAACCACUAUUGGUAUGGGAGGAAACAGCGAAAACCACAUCCUAGUCAUCGUCAUCAUCAUUUCAGUUGGUGCCUUCACCAUAAUUGUGGUAGUGGUGGGAGCCUUCCUAUGCACACGCCGCACAACGUCUCACCAGAAGAAAAAACGUGCUGCUUCAAAGUCAUCAAACGGCUCCCACAAAUACAAGGGAAACUCUAAAGAUCUAAAGCCUCCUGAUCUUUGGAUUCACCACGAGAGGCUGGAACUCAAGCCCAUGGACAAGUCCCCGGACCCCACCCAGUCAUGACCGAAACGCCCAUCCCCCGCACCUCGCAGGACAUCACACCAGCAGACAGUGGCCUGGAGAGAGGACCCCCACCUUCAGCAGCGACGGAACUCCUACCGUGGCCACGAAUCAGAGGACAGCAUGUCUACACUAGCAGGCCGACGAGGGAUGAGGCCUAAAAUGAUGAUGCCUUUUGACUCACAGCCGCCUCAGCCUGUGAUUAGUGCUCAUCCAUCCAUUCCCUCGAUAACCAUCACCACCAUUAUCACAUGGGCAGCCUGGCGUCGCCAACACGCAGCUACCUCUACCACCAGGGCGGCGGGCACCCUCGCCCGCACGCCUGUGCCACCCCAUCUCCCAUCUAGACAGGGUGGACUCCGAAGAGUCUGUCAGGAACACCCCCAGUUCAGAGCCCCUCCCUCCCGCCACCGCCUCCUCUCAGGUGUCCUGCCCAUCGGAGAUCAUGGUGGACCCUGAAGGCAGCUACCACGGCUCCACCACCACAGAGGAGGAAGCCCAGCUACUCCAGCAACCUGCCCCCCCACCGCCCGGCCACCCGCAUGCCCACGCACACCCACUCAAGAGCUUCGCCGUACCUGCAAUCCCAGCCGGCAGUCAUCCAACAUACGAGUCAUCUGCUCUGCCCAGCACGCCUCUGCUGGCUCAGACUGGGCCUCCUACUCACCCCCAUGUUGUUAAAACAGCCUCUAUUGGAACACUAGGAAGGACACGAACACCGGUGAUAGUCACUGUGCCCAACGCCCCAGACGUCCAGAGACCAGUAAGAUGCUGGAAGACGUAGGACAGCAGCUACGAGCCCGACGAGCUGACUGAGGAGAUGGCCCACCUCGAGGGACUGAUGAAGGACCUGAACGCCAUCACAACAGCGCCAUGAGCACGCACACACGCCUUCACAUGCAGACACACUUUCUCUGUCAUCCUUACACACACAUACAGAAAGACACACACUCUUAUGGUCAAACAAACACACCCAAACAUAAACCGUUGGGAGCCAGAGGCUGGCGGACACAAUAUGGCGUCUUGUGCCCAAAAAAAACUCUCUCGUCCCCCUUCAGAUAUUAAAAACAAACUCCAGACUGAAACUUAGGAACUUUUUUCGGCUUACCUUGCUCAGUCUCAGGAAGGAGAUUGCCAUGAGAGGGAAGAAAAAGUGACACGCUUCAUCUUUUUAUGAAGAACCAUUCUCAGAGACAAUGAACUUUUAAACAUUGGUCGCUUUCAACCGGAAGAUUGUGAUUUUUUCCUCAGCAAAAAUCUGUGCGGUAGUUUUUUCUCUUUGAAUGCUCACUUGAGACAGUUGAAUCAAUGUCAAGUCAAAAGGAGAAAGUCCCAAAAAUAUGCUGGUUUUUUUGAUGUUGGUGCUCAUGCGGCGCAGUCUACACACAGUGUUUGUUUGAUUAGUGUUUUCUUUGUGCAUUUUGUAUAUCUAUUGGGCCGUUUCAGUGAAGUGAACAUUGGAUUUCCGCCCCCUCCUACUUUACCAGCUCACAUUACUCAUAAACCGAUCGAUCCUUGUUUUUGUUUUUACCCCAUGUGUCGUAUAUUGUGCCAUGACUUUUUAUUAUUUUCUAUGUUAUUGUAUUAUUUUUUUACACACAUAUUCUUAUAAACAUGUACAUAUGUUGUGUUUUUUUUAAACUGCCUCAUUCUGUUGAUGUUCCCAUAUUUCAUUAUUAUUAUUUUGGGAUGAAAACGGGAUUAUGAGUCCUGAAGCUCAGUUUUCUUAUCAAAAGGGGAGAGAAGCCUGACGUUUCUACCGUACAUUCUUCUCUGGCAUUGAGGUUGCCCACUUUGUAAAUUAAAACAUCUUUUUUUCAGUCUUUGAUUCAUUGUGGGAGCUCCGUUUUAAAAGCCUUACCAACAUGUUUGUAUGUUUGGGACAGUGGAGACGACUCGGCUCUCCAUCGAUGUCGCUCCAAGUCGUGCUGUCGACGCUCUACUUUUAUGAGGCUCGACAGUUUCUCCUCGCAGAUCAGGGGUACCCAGGACUCAGGGCGCUGACACGCACCCCUCCUUGAAAAAAGAAAAAAAUAACCUCACAUGGCACGUCAGUCAAUAAAUCACUUGCAACAGACGAGUUAUCUUUUAUACAAGAAGUUUGGUCGAAUGUGUGUGUCGUUUCCAAAAACCAAUGUUUGGUUUCAGACGUCUGUACUGCUGAACCAUGUGUGCAUUGUUCUCACAGCGAGUGUGUUUGCUGUAUUUCUGCUGUUCUUCAUCUGAAUGCCCUGGGUUCUUUUACAAAUCUUCUACGAUGCAAAGAUGUGGGCCUUUUGAAUGGACUCCCAGAUUUUUUUUACAUGGUAGUUUUUGUAUGAAGUCGAAAAAAAAAAACAAGAAGCUUGUUCUGUACACAGAUCUGAUGUAAAAAAGGAAAAAAAAGUUCAUCUGAGAAACUAGUUUUUCAUCACCCUCUUACCCAAAAGAAAUUUGUCAUUUGCAAUCAUAGUAAUUUGCUCUACUUUUGUGAAUACCAUGUUUCUCAUCAAUGUACAUCGUCAUGAAUGUCAAUAUAACCUGUAAGAGAUUUAACUAUGGAUACAAACAAGGAACAAGUUUUGGGGAAAAAUCAUUGAAAACAAAGGAGGAGAAAAGGACCGGACUCCAUUUGGGAAAUAAUCUAUUGAGUUGUAAACAGCUGAACCUGUA